rnacentral:rRNA from 1 species
UACAGGGGGGGCAAACGUUAUCCGGAGUUACUGGGCGUAAAGGGCGUGUAGGUGGUUUCGUAAGUCUGGCGUGAAAUUUUUCGGCUUAACCGGGAAAGGUCGUCGGAUACUGCGGAACUAGAGGACGGUAGAGGCGUGUGGAAUUCCGGGUGUAGUGGUGAAAUGCGUAGAGAUCCGGAGGAACACCAGUGGCGAAGGCGACACGCUGGGCCGAUACUGACGCUGAGGAGCGAAAGCAUGGGUAGCGAACAGG